rnacentral:miRNA from 1 species
UAUGACACCUGGGCGAACUGUCC